rnacentral:rRNA from 1 species
UACCAGCACCCCGAGUGGUCGGGACGAUUAUUGGGCCUAAAGCAUCCGUAGCCGGUCCUGCAAGUCUUCCGUUAAAUCCAGCUGCUCAACAGAUGGGCUGCGGAGGAUACUCCAGAGCUAGGGAGGCAGGAGAGGCAAGCGGUACUCAGUGGGUAGGGGUAAAAUCCGUUGAUCCAUUGAAGACCACCAGUGGCGAAGGCGGCUUGCCAGAAUGCGCUCGACGGUGAGGGAUGAAAGCUGGGGAGCAACCGGG